AUUGAACGCUGGCGGCAGGCCUAACACAUGCAAGUCGAGCGAGCGGCGGACGGGUGGGUAAUGUCUGGGAAACUGCCUGAUGGAGGGGGAUCACUACUGGAAACGGUAGCUAAUACCGCAUACCAUCAGAUGUGCCCAGAUGGGAAUAGCUAGUAGGUGGGGUAACGGGUCACCUAGGCGACGCGCCCUAGCGUGUCUGAGAGGAUGACCAGGCCCCCUGUAACGUAGACACGGUCCAGACGCCUACGGGAGGCACGAGUGGGGAAUAUUGCACAAUGGGCGCAAGCCUGAUGCAGCCAGGCCGCGUGUGUGAAGAAGGCCUUCGGGUUGUAAAGCACUUUCAGCGGGGAGGCGUUACCCGCAGAAGAAGCACCGGCUAACUCCGUGCCAGCAGCCGCGGUAAUAC
rnacentral:rRNA from 1 species